CAUUCUGACAUGUUUCUCCCUCUUAUGGCCUAACCCUACUUGCACUAAAGUUAGGGGGAACUUUCCCAGUAUUUCAUAAGAGUGUUAACCAGAGACAAAAGCAGCAACUUUAUUUAAGGCAGAAAGGCAGCAGUAAGACAACCUAAUAUUUGUUCAAGUGAGAUUUUAAACCAUUACAAAACAAUUUACACACUCAUUCCUCCCUCUCCAUAAGUCACUAUUCUCAUCACAUAAAAAGAUGGGAAGCCAAAGGAUUUAGAAGAUUUCUUGAAAAAAAGUACAGACCAAAAUAUUUCUGUUUGGAAGAGAACACAGUGAAGGGAAGAUAAGGCAGAUGCACAUGAUCGUGUGCAUGGAAACGAUGUGACAAGGUUUCAAGGGACCUCCCAAAGGAGCUUGGGCAACCACUUACGAUGAGGACAUUGCUACUCAUCUCCUGGCCAGUCAACAUGACAAGGAUGAUCUGGUGCCUGUAAGGAUCUACAGCAAUUUGGGCAUCUUCAGCUCUUGCUCAUGAUGUGGGUGACCUGGCUCUCAAGUUCCCCCAUCUAAGGGGGUUCACAGCUCUUUCAUCUGCUGGAAAAGUGCUCUAUCCACUACUCUAAAAGCUAUACCAAGGAUACAGCACUGCAGUUUAAGCUGGACAACUCAAUGGAAAAGACUAAGAAGAAAUACUGAAAAAAAGAAUUAAAGAAAA